GCUCCGCUCCCCGCGGGCACCGCGCUGCGGCCAGGGCGGGCCGGACACUCCCCGGAGCGCGCCCGUCCCGGGGGCUGCACAGCGCUGUCCCCUCUGUCCCCCCGCUCCUCCCCACUGUCCCCCCGCUCCUCCCCUCUGUCCCCUCGCUGUCCCCUCACUCCUCUCCGCUGUGCCCCGCUGUCCCCCGUUCCAUCCCGCUGUCCCCCGCUCCAUCCCUCUCCAUCCCGCUGUCGCCCCGCUGUCCCUCGCUCCUUUCCUCUGUCCCCCGCUGUCCCCCCGCUCCAUCCCGCUGUCCCCGCUGUCCCCGCCGCCGUGCCAUGCUGUCCCCGCUGCCCCCCACGCCGGUGCUGGCGGCGGAGCGCGGCCCGGUGCUGCUGUCGUGCGCGCUGUCCUGCGCGGGCUCGGCGCUGCUGCUCUGCACCCAGGCGCGCUGGCCGGAGCUGCGGACGCGGCCGCGGCAGCUGCUGCUGCACCUGAGCCUGGCCGACCUGCUCUCUGCCCUCUCCUACUUCUACGGCGUGCUGCGGGACUUCCAGGGCACCUCGUGGGACUGCGUCCUGCAGGGCGCCCUGUCCACCUUCGCCAACACCAGCUCCUUCUUCUGGACCAUGGCCAUCGCCCUCUACCUGUACCUGAGCAUCGUCAGGGGCUCCCCCGCGGGCCAGGACUUGCUCUGGGGCUUCCACGCCGUGAGCUGGGGUGUCCCCCUGGCCAUCACGGUGGCUGCUGUGGCUCUGAGGAAGAUUGGCUACGACGCCUCCAACGUCUCCGUGGGCUGGUGCUGGGUCAACCUGGAGGCUGAGGAUCGGCUCCUGUGGAUGCUGCUGACAGGAAAGCUCUGGGAGAUCCUGGCCUAUGUCACCCUGCCCGUGCUCUACAUCCUCAUCAGGAAGCACAUCAACAGAGCUCACGCCGCCCUCUCCGAGUACCGCCCCAUCCUGCCCGCAGCCCCGGCCCUGCGGCCCCGCACCAGCGUGGCGGAUAAGAAGCUGAUCCUCAUCCCCCUCAUCUUCAUCUUCCUCCGCAUCUGGAGCACGGUGCGCUUCGUGCUGACCCUGUGCGACUCCCCUGCCGUGCAGAACCCCGUCCUGGUCGUGCUGCACGGGAUCGGGAACACGUUCCAAGGAGGAGCCAACUGCAUCCUGUUCGUGCUGUGCACACGGGCCGUGCGGGCCCGGCUGCUGGCCCUGCUCUGCUGCGGCCACUGCACAGAGCUGGCCUGGCCUGGCCAGGGCACCCCCAGCCCCUGGCAGCACCCCCAGACCCACGGGGACAGGGACAAGGACAAGGACAUGGACAAGGACGUGCCCGGCCCCGGGCAGACGAAGCCGCUGCUCCCCAGCACCUGAGCUGGCCCUGGCUGCUGCUGAUUCCUCCUCUCAUGGUAAUUCCAGUGUGAGCCUUUCCCCCUCUCAUGGUAAUUCCAGUGUGAGCCUUUCCCCCUGUCAUGGUAAUUCCAGUGUGAGCCUUUCCCCCUCCUGCCCUGGCUGUGCCCCCGUGGGAGGGGUGGGAUCAGGGACAGGGAGCAGGGACAGGGAGCAGGGACAGGGAGCAGGGACAGGGGGUUCUGCUGCUGCUCUGGGUUCCCUGUCUGACUCUGCAGCCCCAUCACACUCCCAAACCAUGUACAGAACUGCCCUGCUCCCUUCCCCCUGCGCUGCUCCCGGGUCUGUGGAAGGAGGAUGAAAGGAGGAACUGAGCUGCAGGGCUGUCUGCCCACAGGAACGGGGCACCAGGCAGAGCUGAAGAGGAGCUGGUGGCUCUUUUUAAAGUGAAAUGCCACGUGCAGACACAUUCCAUCAGUGCUGCACAGAUCAGGUGUUCUGCCCAUGAGGGGAUGGAUACCUCUGUGGGCAGAGGUGGCUCCUGCUCUCUCCUGAGCCUUGGCAUUCACUCCAUAGUUAUAUCAGUAAAUUUGGACCCUCAUGGGCACAGGCUGUGCAAACACUCAGGAGCCUGUUUCAUGGGGCUGCUGGAUGGCUCUGCCCCUCAGCCUCCCUGGAGCCUCUGAAAGGUAGAUGGAAGCAUCUCAUCUGUGCCACAGAUGGCUCCAAGAGUUGUUUCUUCUCCUUUCAAAAGGCUUUUAAAAACUUCUGAAUGCUAAAUAGCAACCUUGGAUAGCUCAACCUCUUGUGAGUCCCACAAGGCUUGCAAAGAGGAGAUGUGUUAAAUUUCUUGCAGAAAGGUAGGAUAGAAAUGUUUAAAUUUUAUGAGACUCAGUAUCGUGCUGUGUUCAGGUUUUUGGAGCCAGCCCUGAAGAGAGAAAGUAGAAUUGUCACCAGCUUGGCUUAAGGGAAAACAAAACAGUGGAAAAAACAACACCAAAAAGAAUCAAAACAGGUUCCAUGCCCUCAGUUUGCCUUUUUCCUUUACAGAGCUCUGAGAAAUCUUUGGGAGGAAUGGGCCAGGGUCACGUUUCCAGCUCAGGGGUGUGACUGUCACUGUCCUGUGCAGGUGGCACGGCCCUGCAGUGAGUGUCACUGUCCUGUGCAGUGAGUGUCACUGUCCCUGCAGUGACUGUCACUGUCCGUGCAGGUGUCACUGCCCUGCAGUGAGUGUCACUGUCCUGUGCAGGUGGCACGGCCCUGCAGUGAGUGUCACUGUCCCUGCAGUGACUGUCACUGUCCCUGCAGGUGCAGGGUGCUGGCACAGCCCCACAGAGGGAGCUGCAGCCCGGGGAAAGCGGCGCUGGAGAGGCGGAGGGAGCCCUGCCCAGGUCCCGGAGCUGCCCAGCUGGGUCAGGAUCCUCUGGAACACUCCACUCCCGUCUGUCUCCCCUCCUUCCCUCACCUCCUCCGGGACGCUGAACCCUUGGCUGGGGUCUCUCUUUACUGCCUGCCCAGCCGAUGUGUGGUGAGUUCUGAGAGAACAAAGCCCGGCCAGGAGGGCUCCAGGAGCUGCUGGAAGGACUGUCCUGGGCAUGGCUCUCCCUCGGUCAGAGCCCUCCCGGGAGCUCCAGCCUGGCUCUGCUCUUCACUUGAACUGGGACAGAACAAUGUUCAUUUCGUGGUGCUGCUGGAUGGUGCCUCUGGAUGCGGAUCCCUCCUCCCUGGUGUUUGGGGGCUGUCACCAUCGGGGUUUGUGGGGGCUCUCCGAGGCAGUCAGAGCCCUGCAGGCUCCCCAGGGAUGUGGGGAUGAGCCCAGGCUCCAGCAGGGACAGUGCCUGCCUCGGAGCUCCUGGGCUUUGUCUGUGCCUGGGGACUGCUGGCUCACGCUGGGGAGGGGCUGGGGCUUUGUGUGCCAUUUGGAGAUAAUGUUUUACCUCAUUCACAGUUCCUCACUUGCGUUUUUUAAGUAUUUUCUCCAACUUUUACAAAAUAAAGUUCAGUUUCUUUGCCAGAA